AUGGUUUUAAUUUGCAUUCCAAUCCCAAAGAAAGGCAAUGCCAAAGAAUGCUCAAACUACCGCACAAUUGCACUCAUCUCACACGCUAGUAAAGUAAUGCUCAAAAUUCUCCAAGCCAGGCUUCAGCAAUACGUGAGCCGUGAACUUCCAGAUGUUCAAGCUGGUUUUAGAAAAGGCAGAGAAACCAGAGAUCAAAUUGCCAACAUCCACUGGAUCAUCGAAAAAGCAAGAGAGUUCCAGAAAAACAUCUAUUUCUGCUUUACUGACUAUGCCAAAGCCUUUGACUGUGUGGAUCAUAAUAAACUGUGGAAAAUUCUGAAAGAGAUGGGACUACCAGAUCACCUGACCUGCCUGUUGAGAAACCUAUAUGCAGGUCAGGAAGCAACAGUUAGAACUGGACAUGGAACAACAGACUGGUUCCAAAUAGGAAAAGGAAUAUGUCGAGGCUGUAUAUCGUCACUCUGCUUAUUUAACUUCCAUGCAGAGUACAUCAUGAGAAACGCUGGGCUGGAAGAAGCACAAGCUGGAAUCAAGAUUGCCAGGAGAAAUAUCAAUAACCUCAGAUGUGCAGAUGACACCAGCCUUAUGGCAGAAAAUGAAGAACUAAAGAGCCUCUUGAUGAAAGUGAAAGUGGAGAGUGAAAAAGUUGGCUUAAAGCUCAACAUUCAGAAAAUGAAGAUCAUGGCAUCUGGUCCCAUCACUUCGUGGGAAAUAGAUGGGGAAACAGUAGAAACAGUGUCAGACUAUAUACGUUUGGGCUCCAAAAUCACUGCAGGUGGUGAUUGCAGCCAUGAAAUUAAAAGAUGCUUACUCCUUGGAAGGAAAAUUAUGACCAACCUAGACAGCAUAUUCAAAAGCAGAGACAUUACUUUGCCAACUAAGGUCCGUCUAGUCAAGGCUAUGGUUUUUCCAGUAGUCAUGUAUGGAUGUGAGAGUUGGACUGUGAAGAAAGCUGGGCGCCGAAGAAUUGAUGCUUUUGAAGUGUGGUGUUGGAGAAGACUCUUGAGAGUCCCUUGGACUGCAAGGAGAUCCAACCAGCCCAUCCUAAAGGAGAUCAGUCCUGGGUGCUCUUUGGAAGGAAUGAUGCUAAAGCUGAAACUCCAGUACUUUGGCCAGCUCAUGCGAAGAGCUGACUCAUUGGAAAAGACUCUGAUGCUGGGAGGGAUUGGGGGCAGGAGGAUAAGGGGACGACCGAGGAUGAGAUGGCUGGAUGGAUGGUAUCACCGACUUGAUGGAUGUGAGUUUAAGUGA
rnacentral:lncRNA from 1 species